rnacentral:lncRNA from 1 species
GGUUGUUGAGGUGAACCUGUUAAAACCUUUGUUUGGUUGGAAGUUUCUGUAAUUAAAACUCUUGUUUGGUUCCUGAGCUUAGACGGGUGUUUAAAGCUCUUAGCUGAUUCAAGGUUGUCGUAGUGGUAAAAUCUGUUGGUUGGGAGGUAUCCGUAGUUAAAACUCUAUGUUUGGUUGGGAAUUUUUCCAUUGUAAAACUCAAAUUCUUUUGUAAGGAGGUUCAUCGGAAAAUUUUGUUAAAAGCUCACAUCAAAGUGG